UCAAAACCUAAACUUCAUCCUUCUCACAUCUUCUCCCUCUCCAGUCCCCAUACCCCCUCCACUACUUUCUCGUAAGUCGAUGCUUCUCCCUUUCAAUUUGAACAGAGCAAAUCAACUAAAAAUCUUUUCAAAAUGUGUUCAUUCUGUUUGCUUUAUUUAUUGUUUUGCGUUUUCCCUUUUUGUUAUAUGCUAAAAAAAUUGGUAAGAAUUAUCAAAGCAUAUAAUUUUUUUUCCUUGAGAUUCUAUUGGCGUUUUUAUUUUUCAAACUUCAUGUCUUCAUCAUUGUAUUAAAGUUUCUUUUGGGUUUACUCAUUCUUUUUGUGCUGAUUAUUCUUAUUUUUCGAAUUUACAGAUGCAUUUUAGUAGCAGGAGUUAGAGAAGAGGAAGAUGACUUCGCACACAUUUGUUUGGCCGUUUUGCUUUCAGCUAUUGAUGCAGGGUAAACCUACUUCAACCUUUCAUUGAAUGCAAGAAGAUCAUCCGGCGGGUGGGAGCAUCACAAUUUUCAGACAAAUACUUAAUUUAUUUUUGGAUAUGAGAUACUUUAGAAUUUUAGAGAUUAAAAUUGAAAUGUAAAACAUAUUGUACAUAGUUUGUAAAUAUCUAUAUUUUAGUUUGACAAGAAUUUGAAUGUGAUGUUUGUUACUAUCAAGCG